rnacentral:rRNA from 1 species
AACGAACGCUGGCGGCAGGCCUAACACAUGCAAGUCGAGCGGAGUAGCAAUACUCAGCGGCAGACGGGUGAGUAACACGUGGGAACCUUCCUUAUAGUAAAGAAUAGCCCAGGGAAACUUGGAUUAAUACUUUAUACGCCCUACGGGGGAAAGAUUUAUCGCUAUAAGAUGGGCCCGCGUUAGAUUAGCUAGUUGGUGAG